rnacentral:rRNA from 1 species
AUUGAACGCUGGCGGCAUGCCUUACACAUGCAAGUCGAACGGUAACAGGCCGCAAGGUGCUGACGAGUGGCGAACGGGUGAGUAAUGCAUCGGAACGUGCCCAGUCGUGGGGGAUAACUGCUCGAAAGAGCAGCUAAUACCGCAUACGACCUGAGGGUGAAAGCGGGGGACCGUAAGGCCUCGCGCGAUUGGAGCGGCCUAUGUCAGAUUAGCUAGUUGGUGGGGUAAAGGCCUACCAAGGCAACGAUCUGUAGUUGGUCUGAGAGGACGACCAGCCACACUGGGACUGAGACACGGCCCAGACUCCUACGGGAGGCAGCAGUGGGGAAUUUUGGACAAUGGGCGCAAGCCUGAUCCAGCAAUGCCGCGUGCAGGAAGAAGGCCUUCGGGUUGUAAACCGCUUUUGUCAGGGAAGAAAUCUUCUGGGCUAAUACCCCGGGAGGAUGACGGUACCUGAAGAAUAAGCACCGGCUAACUACGUGCCAGCCGCCGCAGUAAAAC